GACGAACGCUGGCGGCGUGCUUAACACAUGCAAGUCGAACGAUGAAGCCUAGCUUGCUAGGUGGAUUAGUGGCGAACGGGUGAGUAAUACGUGAGUAACCUACCUUUAACUCUGGGAUAAGCCUGGGAAACUGGGUCUAAUACCGGAUACGACCAAUCUCCGCAUGGGGUGUUGGUGGAAAGCGUUAUGUAGUGGUUAUAGAUGGGCUCACGGCCUAUCAGCUUGUUGGUGAGGUAACGGCUCACCAAGGCGACGACGGGUAGCCGGCCUGAGAGGGUGACCGGCCACACUGGGACUGAGACACGGCCCAGACUCCUACGGGAGGCAGCAGUGGGGAAUAUUGCACAAUGGGCGCAAGCCUGAUGCAGCGACGCCGCGUGAGGGAUGACGGCCUUCGGGUUGUAAACCUCUGUUAGCAGGGAAGAAGAGAGAUUGACGGUACCUGCAGAGAAAGCGCCGGCUAACUACGUGCCAGCAGCCGCGGUAAUACGUAGGGCGCGAGCGUUGUCCGGAAUUAUUGGGCGUAAAGAGCUUGUAAGCGGUUUGUCGCGUCUGCUGUGAAGGCCGGGGCUUAACUCCGUGUAUUGCAGUGGGUACGGGCAGACUAGAGUGCAGUAGGGGAGACUGGAAUUCCUGGUGUAGCGGUGGAAUGCGCAGAUAUCAGGAGGAACACCGAUGGCGAAGGCAGGUCUCUGGGCUGUAACUGACGCUGAGAAGCGAAAGCAUGGGGAGCGAACAGGAUUAGAUACCCUGGUAGUCCAUGCCGUAAACGUUGGGCACUAGGUGUGGGGGACAUUCCACGUUUUCCGCGCCGUAGCUAACGCGUUAAGUGCCCCGCCUGGGGAGUACGGCCGCAAGGCUAAAACUCAAAGAAAUUGACGGGGGCCCGCACAAGCGGCGGAGCAUGCGGAUUAAUUCGAUGCAACGCGAAGAACCUUACCAAGGCUUGACAUAUACUGGACCGCAUCAGAGAUGGUGUUUCCCUUCGGGGCUGGUAUACAGGUGGUGCAUGGUUGUCGUCAGCUCGUGUCGUGAGAUGUUGGGUUAAGUCCCGCAACGAGCGCAACCCUCGUUCUAUGUUGCCAGCACGUUAUGGUGGGGACUCAUAGGAGACUGCCGGGGUCAACUCGGAGGAAGGUGGGGAUGACGUCAAAUCAUCAUGCCCCUUAUGUCUUGGGCUUCACGCAUGCUACAAUGGCCGGUACAGAGGGUUGCGAUACUGUGAGGUGGAGCUAAUCCCUAAAAGCCGGUCUCAGUUCGGAUUGGGGUCUGCAACUCGACCCCAUGAAGUCGGAGUCGCUAGUAAUCGCAGAUCAGCAACGCUGCGGUGAAUACGUUCCCGGGCCU
rnacentral:rRNA from 1 species